rnacentral:rRNA from 1 species
CCUACGGGAGGCAGCAGUGAGGAAUAUUGGUCAAUGGGCGCGAGCCUGAACCAGCCAAGUAGCGUGAAGGAUGACUGCCCUACGGGUUGUAAACUUCUUUUAUAAAGGAAUAAAGUGCAGCACGUGUGCCGUUUUGUAUGUACUUUAUGAAUAAGGAUCGGCUAACUCCGUGCCAGCAGCCGCGGUAAUACGGAGGAUCCGAGCGUUAUCCGGAUUUAUUGGGUUUAAAGGGAGAGUAGAUGGGUGGUUAAGUCAGUUGUGAAAGUUUGCGGCUCAACCGUAAAAUUGCAGUUGAUACUGGGUGCCUUGAGUGCAGUAGAGGUAGGCGGAAUUCGUGGUGUAGCGGUGAAAUGCUUAGAUAUCACGAAGAACUCCGAUUGCGAAGGCAGCUUACUAGACUGCCACUGACAUUGAUGCUCGAAAGUGUGGGUAUCAAACAGGAUUAGAUACCCGUGUAGUC